GGUUAAGCGACUAAGCGUACACGGUGGAUGCCCUGGCAGUCAGAGGCGAUGAAGGACGUGCUAAUCUGCGAUAAGCGUCGGUAAGGUGAUAUGAACCGUUAUAACCGGCGAUUUCCGAAUGGGGAAACCCAGUGUGUUUCGACACACUAUCAUUAACUGAAUCCAUAGGUUAAUGAGGCGAACCGGGGGAACUGAAACAUCUAAGUACCCCGAGGAAAAGAAAUCAACCGAGAUUCCCCCAGUAGCGGCGAGCGAACGGGGAGCAGCCCAGAGCCUGAAUCAGUGUGUGUGUUAGUGGAAGCGUCUGGAAAGGCGCGCGAUACAGGGUGACAGCCCCGUACACAAAAAUGCACAUACUGUGAGCUCGAUGAGUAGGGCGGGACACGUGGUAUCCUGUCUGAAUAUGGGGGGACCAUCCUCCAAGGCUAAAUACUCCUGACUGACCGAUAGUGAACCAGUACCGUGAGGGAAAGGCGAAAAGAACCCCGGCGAGGGGAGUGAAAAAGAACCUGAAACCGUGUACGUACAAGCAGUGGGAGCACGCUUAGGCGUGUGACUGCGUACCUUUUGUAUAAUGGGUCAGCGACUUAUAUUCUGUAGCAAGGUUAACCGAAUAGGGGAGCCGAAGGGAAACCGAGUCUUAACUGGGC
rnacentral:rRNA from 1 species